GCUCAUUUUUGUGAAAAGGUAAAUAGAGAUUGCGGUGAAGGCAUGAAUGCAGUGCAGUCGUUGGAGCCGCUCCAGAAUAAAAAAAAAUGGAUUUAUCGCUGCACGAAUUGUUACGGAUGUACCAGGAGGCUAUCGCGUAUAACACGGAGAUCCCACUUGUAAGACAAAUCACAAAAUCGGCUCAACCGUAAGCAUAAGAGUGGGAAUGAUUUGACGACAUUGGCCGAAAAUACCGGAUCAUCCGCAAUUUCGAGCCAGAAUCCAACCACACCGGCAGCUAUCAAUAAUCUGGCAAAUGUGGCCAACAAUCUAGGACCUGCGGUGAACAACUUUCUCGAAAUACCUGACCAUGCGUCUAACGCGGGACCUGGAAAGAGAACUCGCCGAGGCGCUGGUCAAUUUCUGCAUCUGGUCUUGCUUUCGCAGUUUAACUAGUUUUGGAAGACCAUAAGUCUACAAGCCGCUUGAGAUGUACUAAUCUUGGGUCAUAGGGAACCGUAAGCGCGUGUUGUUCAAAGUAGCUACAGCGGGCACUAUCACAGACAAACAGAUGCAGCAGCGAUAGUAUUUUACACGGCGAGUUGAUGCAUUGUGCCGAAGCAGAGCAAAAAGAUCCAGAUCAAUAAAAUGUUUGCAGAAUUUGUGUCGAAUGUAUUUACCAUAGUGACCAAAUUAAAGCAAUAA